GUCCUCGCUUUGGCAGCACGUAUACUAGAAUUGGAGCAAUACAGAGAAGAUUAGCAUGGCCCCUGCACAGGGAUGACACACAGAUUCGUGAAGCGUUCCAUAUUAAA